UUCUCAUCAAGAGAGGCAGAGGGACUGGCCCGAUGAAGCCUCGGCAACCUUCAGAUUCAUUUAUCUGAAAAGGUGCCAAUUCCUACGCUUGAUUAAUUUAAGUGGAAGAUGAGAG
rnacentral:ncRNA from 1 species